CUUAACAAUAUCCAUCCAUUACCCAACCUGUCAGCAUAUGGCUCUGAUGCCAACUGUGACAGUUUUCAUGGUUACAUCACAAGGUACCUAUCAGCUUGCCACCCGCACGUCGUGCGUUCAUAAUACAACUUAAAUUUCAAAAUAUACAUCACAGAUAUCCGAAUGAUACAUUAAACUUCCAAAGUACAAUCAUAAAGGGGUCAAGCCAAAAUACACCUGAAACCCUAAAACAAAAUAUAUCCAAAAGGAGAUUUC
rnacentral:lncRNA from 1 species